rnacentral:tRNA from 1 species
GCGGUCGUAGCUCACCGGAUAGAGCAAAAGUUUCCGGAACUUUUGGCAGGAGGUUCAAUUCCUCUCGACCGCACCA